GGAUCAUUACAGAGUUCUAAAAGACUCCCAAAACCAUUGUGAACGUACCCGUCAGCGUUGCCUCGGCGGGCGGCCCCUCCCUGGGGCCGCUGCCUCCCUCGGGGGGUGCCCGCCGGCGUACCAAAACUCUUUUGUAUUUUUAGUGGCCUCUCUGAGAAAACAAGCAAAUAAGUUAAAACUUUCAACAACGGAUCUCUUGGUUCUGGCAUCGAUGAAGAACGCAGCGAAAUGCGAUAAGUAAUGUGAAUUGCAGAAUUCAGUGAAUCAUCGAAUCUUUGAACGCACAUUGCGCCCGCCAGUACUCUGGCGGGCAUGCCUGUUCGAGCGUCAUUUCAACCCUCAAGCCCUGCUUGGUGUUGGGGUCCUACGGCUGCCGUAGGCCCUGAAAGCUAGUGGCGGGCUCGCUAUAACUCCGAGCGUAGUAGUAAAAUAUCUCGCUAGGGAGGUGUCGCGGGUUCCGGCCGUGAAAGCCCAUCUUUUACACAAGGUUGACCUCGGAUCAGGUAGGAAUACCCGCUGAACUUAAGCAUAUCAAUAAGCGGAGGAAAAGAAACCAACAGGGAUUGCCCCAGUAACGGCGAGUGAAGCGGCAACAGCUCAAAUUUGAAAUCUGGCUUCGGCCCGAGUUGUAAUUUGUAGAGGAUGCUUUUGGUGAGGUGCCUUCUGAGUUCCCUGGAACGGGACGCCAGAGAGGGUGAGAGCCCCGUAUAGUUGGACACCGAGCCUCUGUAAAGCUCCUUCGACGAGUCGAGUAGUUUGGGAAUGCUGCUCAAAAUGGGAGGUAUAUCUCUUCUAAAGCUAAAUACUGGCCAGAGACCGAUAGCGCACAAGUAGAGUGAUCGAAAGAUGAAAAGCACUUUGAAAAGAGGGUUAAAUAGUACGUGAAAUUGUUGAAAGGGAAGCGCUUGUGACCAGACUUGUGCCCGGCUGAUCAUCCAGUGUUCUCACUGGUGCACUCUGCCGGGCUCAGGCCAGCGUCGGUUCUCGCAGGGGGACAAAAGCUUCGGGAACGUAGCUCCUCCGGGAGUGUUAUAGCCCGUUGCUCAAUACCCCUGCGGGGACCGAGGU
rnacentral:rRNA from 1 species